rnacentral:rRNA from 1 species
AAUUCUGCUCAAUGAUUUUUUAAAUUGCUGUGGUAUUUUGACUAUACAAAGGUAUUGAAAUAAGAUUUUAAUUGAAUGCUAAGAGAAUGGAAUUACACGGAAAAACUUUUUUUAAAUUAAAAAUUGAACUUUUUUUAAUUUGUGCAGAAACAAUUAUUGAUAUUAAGGACAAGAAGACCCUAUGAAUUUAUAAAAUUUUUAUAUUGAUAUUUAAUUAUUAUCCUAAAAAUUUUAGCUGGGGAGGCGGAAAAAUAUUAAAAACUUUUUAAAAAUAAAAUGAUCCAUUAUUAAUGAUUAUAUGCUAAAUACUCUAGGGAUAACAGCGUUAUAUUUUUUGAUAGACCAUAUUGACAAAAAAGUUUGCGACCUCGAUGUUGGAUUAGGAUACUUUUUUAAUGAAGAUAUUAAAAAAAGAAGUUUGUUCAACUUUUAAUUUCCUACUUGAUCUGGUUCCAAAACCGGA